rnacentral:rRNA from 1 species
UAGCGUAGGGGCAGCGUUGUCGGAUUUAUUGGGCGUAAAGGAGCGUGUAGGCGGGCUAGGUAGGUCCGUUGUGAAAACCCGAGGCUCAACCUCGAGACGCCGAUGGAAACCAUCUAGCUAGAGUCCGGAAGAGGAGAGUGGAAUUCCGUGGAUGUAGCGGUGAAAUGCGCAGAUAUCAGGAAGAACACCCGUGGCUAAGGCGGCUCCUCUAGUACGGUACUGACGCUG